UGUAGUUUUGGCUUAGUGGCAGAGCACUUGCCUAGCCUGUGUGAGAUACUGGGUUCUAUUCUCAGAACCACAU
rnacentral:tRNA from 1 species